UGGGGAAUAUUGCACAAUGGGCGCAAGCCUGAUGCAGCCAUGCCGCGUGUAUGAAGAAGGCCUUCGGGUUGUAAAGUACUUUCAGUCGGGAGGAAGGUGUCAAGGUUAAUAACCUUGGCAAUUGACGUUACCGACAGAAGAAGCACCGGCUAACUCCGUGCCAGCAGCCGCGGUAAUACGGAGGGUGCAAGCGUUAAUCGGAAUUACUGGGCGUAAAGCGCACGCAGGCGGUUGAUUGAGUCAGAUGUGAAAUCCCCGGGCUUAACCCGGGAAUUGCAUCUGAUACUGGUCAGCUAGAGUCGUGUAGAGGGGGGUAGAAUUCCAGGUGUAGCGGUGAAAUGCGUAGAGAUCUGGAGGAAUACCGGUGGCGAAGGCGGCCCCCUGGACAAAGACUGACGCUCAGGUGCGAAAGCGUGGGGAGCAAACAGG
rnacentral:rRNA from 1 species